GUUCCAAGUGCCAAGAGUGGUUAUCGGCCGGUCUGCAAAACCGUGCACGGCGGUUCGAAUCCGCCCUGGAACU
rfam:Bradyrhizobium sp. NAS80.1 Bradyrhizobium_NAS_80.1_c53, whole genome shotgun sequence.